AAGGACGUUUAGCGCUGCGAUAAGUCAUGGCGAGAUGCGUAAAUUCUGUGACCCAUGAAUUUCCGAAGAGGAAACUUUUUUUCUUAGAAAUUAAUAAACGUAGUGAAGUGAAACAUCUCAGUAACUAUAGGAAAAGAAAUCAAAAGAGAUUCCGUUAGUAGUGGCGAAUGAAAGCGGAUUUAGACCAUUCUUGAUGAAGUGAGAAUUAGGAGACUUUUAGUCUACUAUUUCUUUCAUUCAAAUAGAAGCUUUUCAUAAAAAAUAUUUGAAUUGUUUGGAAAAACAAACCUUAGAAGGUAACAGUCCUGUACAAUAAACUAUAUGAAAAGUUAGAGAGUAAGACGGGACACGAGAAAUCUUGUCUGAAGAUAGGGAGACCACUCUCUAAGUCUAAAUAUGAUUAGAUUAUCGAUAGUGCACAAGUACUGUGAAGGAAAGGUGAAAAGAGUUCUUGGCAAGAACAGUGAAAGAGACCCUGAAAUGGAAUACGUCAAAUCAGUUGGAUGAAAAGAGUAAAUCUUUUUGCCAACGUACCUUUUGCAUAAUGGGUCAGCGAGUUUUAAUAAAGUGCAAGCUUAAAUCGAUAGAUGUAGGCCAAGCGAAAGCGAGUCUUAAAAAUGGCGUAGUAAUUUAUUAAAAACCCGAAACUGAAUGAUCUAGCCAUGAUCAAGUUGAAAACAUGGUAAUACAUGUUGGAGGACUGAACCAGUGGUUGUGGAAAUAACCUUGGAUGAAUUGUGGCUAGGGGUGAAAGGCUAAUCAAAUUCAGUGAUAGCUGGUUUUCUGCGAAAUCUAUGUAAGUAGAGCGCGUUUGGAGAAAUCAUUCUGGGUAGAGCACUCAAUGAAUACUGGGGGUCGUAAAGAUACUUCAGGUUCAAGGAAACUCCGAAUAAGAAUGAUUAGCCCGACGUAGACAGACUUAAGGUGAUAAGAUCUUAGGUCAAGAGAGAAACAGCUCAGAUCGUAGGUUAAGGUCUUUAAGUGGUUAUUAAGUGAGAAAGGCAGUAAAAGAGCUAAGACAACCAGGAGGUGUGCUUGGAGGCAGCAAUCCUUUAAAGAAAUCGUAACAGAUCACUGGUCGAUUGCUUUUUUGCGCCGAAAAUGUAACGGGACUAAAUCACCCACCGAAACCACGAACAUGAUAUUAUCCAUUAAAAAAGAUAAUAUGAUGUGGUAGCAGAAUGUUCUGUCCAUCGAAGAAGAAAUUAAGUAAUUAAUUUUGGAGAUUUCAGAAGUAAGAAUGCUGACAUGAGUAACGAUAAACUAUGUAAAAUCAUAGUCGCCGCAAGCUCAAGGUUUUCACCGAUAGGAUCGACCUCGGUGAGUUCAAUGGCCUCUUAGAGGAAAACGAAAGUUUUACUUGAUGAGAUAAAAUGAUCAUUCAAUGAUCAGACAUUUUAGAUGACGGAUUUCGAUGGUGAACCUCAGUUUUCUAAUUGGAUUGAAAACUUCAUCAUCCAGAUUCCAGGAAAUAACUAAAAUGGUUAGAACCAUACCGGAAACCGACACAGGUGAGCGAGCUGAAUAUGCAAAGGCGCGUGAGUGAAGCAUCCUAAAGGAACUCGGCAAAAUAACUUCGUAACUUCGGGAGAAGAAGUACCUAAGAAUUAGGAAAUCUUAGGUGGCACAAAAUUGAGGAUGGCGACUGCUUAAUAAAAGCACAGCUUUUCGCUAAUUCGUAAGAAGAUGUAUGAGAAGUGAGACCUGCCCGGUGCCAUAAAGUUAAGAGGAGUUGUCAUUUGGCAAUCAAUCGAAGCCAUGGUAAACGGCGGUCCUAUUUUGAGGAUCCAAAGGUAGCGUAAUCCACUGUCGGGUAAGUUCCGACCUGCAUGAAUGGUAGAACGACUGUCCUACUGUCUCUAGGAUGCACUCAGUGAAAUUGAAUUCUCUGUGCAGAUGCAGAGUACACUCAGCAAGACGUGAAGACCCUAUACACCUUUACUGGAUUUUUACAUGGAAAAUAUGAAUUUUCUCUGCAGGAUAGAUACGAGUCUAGAAUGUGAUUGGCGCCAGCUAAUCACGGAGACGACCUUGAGAUAGUAUCGUGAAAAUUCCUGUUUUCUAACUUGAUUACAUCUAGACACUUAGAGACUAGAUCAUUCAUUUCAUUAUGAAUGAAAAGAGUAAUAAGGACAAUGUAUGAUUGCCAGUUUAACUGGGGCGGUUUCCUCCCAAAUAGUAACGGAGGAGUGCGAAGGUUGGCUCAGGUUGGACGGAAACCAACUGAUAGAGUAUAAUAGCAUAAGCCAGCCUGACUGUGACACUUACAAGUGAAACAGAGGCGCAAGCCGGCUAUAGUGAUCCUGUAGUAUUGUGUGGAAUAACUACAGCUCAACGGAUAAAAGGUACGUUAGGGAUAACAGGCUUAUGACUCCUGAGAGCUCAUAUCGAGGGAGUUGUUUGGCACCUCGAUGUCGACUCAUCAUAUCCUGAGGCUGCAGAAGGUCUCAAGGGUUCGGCUGUUCGCCGAUUAAAAUGGUACGUGAGUUGGGUUUAGAACGUCGUGAGACAGUUUGGUCCCUAUCUGCUGAGUGUGUAAGAAGAACUGAAAGGAUCUGGGCCUCGUACGAAAGGAACGGCUUGGACAUACCAAUAGUGUACCAGUUGUUAUGCCAAUAGCAUCGCUGGGUAGCCACGUAUGGAAUGGAUAAUUGCUGAAAGCAUCUAAGCAAGAAACCAGCCUUGAAAAGAUAGUUCUUAUAGAAUUGUUAAACAAUUUAACGUCAAUAGGUUAGAUGUGUAAGUACGGCAACGUAUUUAGCUAACUAAUACUAA
rnacentral:rRNA from 1 species